UGCAAGUCGAGGGGUAGAGUUAGCUUGCUAGCUUGAGACCGGCGCACGGGUGCGUAACGCGUAUGCAACCUACCUUAAUCAGGGGGAUAGCCCGAAGAAAUUCGGAUUAACACCGCAUAAAAUCACAGAAUAGCAUUAUUCAAUGAUCAAAUAUUUAUAGGAUUAAGAUGGGCAUGCGUGUCAUUAGCUAGUUGGCGGGGUAACGGCCCACCAAGGCGACGAUGACUAGGGGAUCUGAGAGGAUGACCCCCCACACUGGUACUGAGACACGGACCAGACUCCUACGGGAGGCAGCAGUAAGGAAUAUUGGUCAAUGGAGGCAACUCUGAACCAGCCAUGCCGCGUGCAGGAAGACUGCCCUAUGGGUUGUAAACUGCUUUUAUCUGGGAAUAAACCUAUUUACGUGUAGAUAGCUGAAUGUACCAGAAGAAUAAGGAUCGGCUAACUCCGUGCCAGCAGCCGCGGUAAUACGGAGGAUCCAAGCGUUAUCCGGAUUUAUUGGGUUUAAAGGGUGCGUAGGCGGCCUGUUAAGUCAGAGGUGAAAGACGGUAGCUCAACUAUCGCAGUGCCUUUGAUACUGAUGGGCUUGAAUGGACUAGAGGUAGGCGGAAUGAGACAAGUAGCGGUGAAAUGCAUAGAUAUGUCUCAGAACACCGAUUGCGAAGGCAGCUUACUAUGGUUUUAUUGACGCUGAGGCACG
rnacentral:rRNA from 1 species